rnacentral:misc_RNA from 1 species
UUCAGAUCGGCGACUUUGUGUCCCUUUGCCGUAACGGUGCGUGAGUGGUGUUUGGCGUGUUACCGGCGUUUGGAUGCCUGCUUGGGCAGCAACGUUCGCGGGUACAUGCCUUUUCAUUUGUGCGUCAAGGUUUCUAGUAACCUUGGCCUUUGAGUGCGGGUCUCCUGUGUUGGCUACCUAUGCUACGGUAUUGCUUUGUCUACGGAUGUCCCUUUUCGCCGUGCGUUGCUCAGUGCACGCAAGGCGAACCGCGAAGCGAGCUCGGUGUUCCCUCUCUCGAUGACUUACGGUCGUCCGAUACGGGAGCACGGAGCUUUUGCUUGGUCUCGUGGGUACGGAACCUCUCAUGGGUAUGGGGCCUCGAUGGCCUUGUGUUAUCCUAAUCGAACAGCGUUUCGCUCGAAAGAAAACGACAGCCGAACUCGUACGGGCAAAUGUUCGUACGGUUUGGCUUCGUCGACAGAGGAAUGC